rnacentral:SRP_RNA from 1 species
GCCAGGCAUGGUGGUGCAUGCCUGUAAUCCCAGCUACUCAGGAGGCUGAGGCAGGAGAAUCACUUGAACCCAGGAGGCGGAGGCUGCAGUGAGCUGAGAUCGUGCCACUGCACUCCAGCCUGGGCGACAGAGUGAGACUCUGUCUCAA